GGGUGGUUAGCUUUAAUGGUUAGAGCAUUGGACUGUUAAUCCAAGGGUUGUCGGUUCGAGUCCGACACCGCCCUCA
rnacentral:tRNA from 1 species